GCCCUGAGGCCUUCCACUAUGUGCCAGGUGCCCGGUGCACUAAAAUAUAGCAGAUUGGGCAUCGAUGCCCUUACAAAAAAAAUUGGCACCGGCCUCACAUUGUGCGUUUGCAGCCCGUAGAAAAGCGGGACCCACACGUCCAUAAAAAAAUUGAGCAAGCCAACCUCUCCUCGAUCCUUCGCGCGAGUUCCUCUCGUCCGCCUCUGUCCAGAAAAAAUCCCCUUUCUCCUCCGACUAGAUCCAUCUCCAUCGUCACCUCCUCGUCUCGAUCCGGCGUAGAUCUAGGCCAAAUCGACACACAUCUCCUACUCCAGGCAAGGUGUUCGUCCGCCCAAGGUCCGGGCAGAGCGGAGGCGCGAGAGAAGGAAUCUGUCGAGGUUCUCCGAGGAGCCGCGGCUAGUGGAGGUGAUGUGCGGCGGGGGACGAGCUCCAUGGACGAGGAGGAGGAAGCAGGAGGCGGAGGCUGGCCAGCAGUAUGUUGCGGCUAGCGGUGCCCGGACUGUUGGACGGGCGGCUACUGCGCUGCAUCUACUACUUUCUACUACUGCGCUGCCUCUACUGGUCUCGAAGCAGCACAGGUGACAUGGGAGAACUAAAUCCAACUGGACUAUUCUCAUCUCCUCUUGAACUAGUGCCUCUAGCAGAUCCAAGAAAAGGUAUGCAUCCAGCAGGAGAUGCUGGACUGCUACUUGAGCCUGCUCCAAAUGCUCCUGGAGGGUACUGCCCCAUGUUACCUUGGUAAGCAACACCAUGGUAGCCUGGAGGUAUGGAUGGAACUUGCUGGUAACCUCCUUGAGCAUAUAAAUUUGCAUGGUGUGGGUGUUGAUGCUGGAAACUGGGAAUAUAAUGUGUGGGUGGAUAAUUCAUAUGUGGAUGAUGGGGAUGGAAACUAAUUGGGCUCUGUGGAUUUUGCUGGUUGUUUGGGCUCUGUGCAUCUGAAGGUGAGAAGGAGGAGUUCAUCAUGCUUGUGAAGCUUUGAGAAGAUGAGUGCUCCAUGUUUUGGGGGAGAGUUUUUCCAAGAUCUUCUUGUGCUUCUAUGAGCUUGUUCUGUACAUUUUAUAGACAGAUUCUCCAAACGGGUAGAUUUUUCUACUGCAGUGCAACGGUCAUCUGGAAAUUUGAGUGCUCUGGUUUGCUGUAAAUUGAAUGCUGUUUGGUAUGGAUUGAAUGAUGUUGCUCGGUGGUGGUUGGGUAGGAAUGCUCCUGUAUAGAUGGCA